AUCAAAAGCCUCUUCAUAUCGCUACUCAUCAUGGAAAUGACAAGCACAUACAAGGACCACAAGGGACCUUGGGAGGGUCACUAAUGCAAGCAUCUGCUUUGUGUCAACACCUCCCUUUCAAGCCUUAAAAUGGACCAAAUGCCAAGUCAGUCACUGACAUACAUAAGAAGCACCAUGUCCUGGCCUGCAAGAAAAAGACAAUCUUCAACAUCUCCAAUUCCCAGCCUCUCCUGGAGGGAUUCUCUGAGCUCUAAGGGGAAGAAUUUGAUGGAAAUCCGGCUGUGGGUCUCUGCAUCUGUUCCCAUCUGCUGCCAGAGGAAGCCUUUCUGAUGAUUUCUAAGUAAAGCACUGAUCUAUGAAUAUAGCCGAAUACUAUUAGAAAUCAUUUUAUUGAUUUUUUUAUACCUGUCAUGUUUGGUUUUCCCUAGGUCCAUGUGUUACAUAUUCUCUGGUUCUUGUGGGGCAGUGGACUGUGAGAGGAAGCCUGGUAAGGCUGAGCUGGGUUGGAAGCCCCGGGACCCAAAGGCACAGUAGGAGCUUCAUCUGCUCCCUAUACCAGGGCCCUGUCAUGUAGUCAAAGCCUCCUAUAGAGAGAGUUGUGACCAUCAGUCGUGUGGGAACAGCGCCCCCAAGCCCCUCCACAUGUAGAUAAGGUAUCCCUAGGAAGCACCUGCUGUCAGACCCCCAACUCACCCUAAAACUGUAUAUAAGAUCCUAUCCAGAAGGAAUAAAGGUGUGUGAGAAUUACUACGUCGCCUGAGAGCAUCUGUUGUCUAAGAGCUAUAACACUUCCUGGGAAGAGAAUGCUUUCCCAAAGGUUUCACUCCUAGAAACUCCCCUGCGCCUCACUCUCUGGCUAGCCCUCCAACAGCUUAGCUCAGCAC
rnacentral:lncRNA from 1 species